rnacentral:misc_RNA from 1 species
GAACGCAUAUUGCACUCUCUGGUAUUCCGGAGAGUAUGCCUGUUUCAGUAUCAGUAAACACCAUCAAACACCUCCAGGAGGGGUUUUUGGAUUUGAGCGUUGCCGAAGAAAGACUUACCAUUUUUGUUCGGCUUGUUUGAAAUGAAAGUACACAGGACAGGAUCCUAGACCGCCGAGGUGGGAAAACAAAGCGUAGUAGUUGACUUGAUUGUCUUCUUUCGCUGAAAAAGAACACCCGGUUUUUGGGACCUUGCUGUGCAAAUUCGCAGGAAGAAAAAGGAAUCAUUCUUUUUUCACUUCUUGAUCUGAAAUCAGGUAGGACUACCCGCUGAACUUAAG